rnacentral:rRNA from 1 species
UUAAGCAUAUCAAUAAGCGGAGGAAAAGAAACUAACAAGGAUUCCCCUAGUAACUGCGAGUGAAGCGGGAAAAGCUCAAAUUUAAAAUCUGGCAGUCUCUGGCUGUCCGAGUUGUAAUCUAGAGAAGUAAUGCCCGUGCUGGACCGUGUAUAAGUCUCCUGGGAUGGGGCGUCAUAGAGGGUGAGAAUCCCGUCUUUGACACGGACUACCAGUGCAUUGUGGUAUGCUCUCAAAGAGUCGAGUUGUUUGGGAAUGCAGCUCAAAAUGGGUGGUAAAUUCCAUCUAAAGCUAAAUAUUGGCGAGAGACCGAUAGCGAACAAGUACCGUGAGGGAAAGAUGAAAAGAACUUUGGAAAGAGAGUUAAACAGUACGUGAAAUUGCUGAAAGGGAAACGCUUGAAGUCAGUCGCGUUGGCCGGGAAUCAGCCUUGCUUUUGCUUGGUGUACUUUCUGGUUGACGGGUCAGCAUCAAUUUUGACCGCUGGAAAAAGGCCUGGGGAAUGUGGCAGCUUCGGCUGUGUUAUAGCCCCUAGUCGCAUACAGUGGCUGGGAUUGAGGAACUCAGCACGCCGCAAGGCCGGGUUUCGACCACGUUCGUGCUUAGGAUGCUGGCAUAAUGGCUUUAAGCGACCCGUCUUGAAACACGGACCAAGGAGUCUAACAUGCCUGCGAGUAUUUGGGCGGAAAACCCAAGUGCGUAAUGAAAGUGAAAGUUGAGAUCCCUGUCGUGGGGAGCAUCGACGCCCGGACCAGAACUUUUGGGACGGAUCCGCGGUGGAGCAUGUAUGUUGGGACCCGAAAGAUGGUGAACUAUGCCUGAAUAGGGUGAAGCCAGAGGAAACUCUGGUGGAGGCUCGUAGCGAUUCUGACGUGCAAAUCGAUCGUCAAAUUUGGGUAUAGGGGCGAAAGACUAAUCGAACCAUCUAGUAGCUG